rnacentral:lncRNA from 1 species
AAAGAAUCGUUUGGCGCUCCCAAGUGAAUGGCGAUCAGAGAACUUUCCUCACUUGCAUGAACUUCUUGACAUGACUCCGUCCUCCAUUCUUCUACUGUACAUACAUACUUCCAAUCAAAAACGGCACUUGCUUGCGACAACGGAAAAUAUAGUUUAAUUAUGAGGGAGCAGAUGAGUCAAUUCGCGAUGCUAAGCAAAACUUUGAAAUUCAUCUCUGUUUUGUCAUUAUUGAUUGCAUUGUCUUCAAUCGAUGGAAGGUACGAUCAGUUGAAAGUUACUAAAACUUUGAUCAGAUGCAAAGUUUUACAUACACAUCUAUUUUUCAACAUUGUAAAAAAUUUGAAAGUCAGUAACUCACAGUGGAUUGACGGAGUGGACGCAACAGAAUUAUGCUACGAAGUACAUACUGUUGGCAGAAAAUUUGCUCAAAAGACCACACUAUUGGACUUUUUAAUUAUAUUUUCUCUAACGAAAUUUAAUUACGGCAAUAAGGGUGUUGUAAAAAUCCGUAUCCAGCUCUUAAGUAAUUGUUAAAGAAAAAAAUUCCUUAUUUCUUGAGCUGUAGUCAAGUAAUUUUGAUAGUUGAUUACGCAUUGUAAAUGAUCCACAUUAGAAGAGCAAGAGAAAAUAAAUUUAUGUGUAGUCUAUUUUGACCUCUUACCUUACUGACUUAUCAAAAGCGGACAAUGUGGGUUUAAAGUGAAUUUGCACUUGGAAGGCAGGAAAGGACCGUGAAUGGACCAUUUGGAGGCAACUUAAAUAUUUUAUUGUAUUCAUGAAUUGCUAUAUAA